GGACCGAAAGCUUGUUCCUUCGCACGUUACCAAUUGCACAUGUCAGCUAAAAGACGGCACUAUUAGUCAUUUCCCGGAUAAUACCCGGUGUUACGUGCCGGCUGUAGGAUAUGAAAAUGAAUACGCCAACAGACCCGGGUGGUGCACGAAUGGCAGGUGUAUUCCAGAUACCGUACCGUUUGGAUGUGCAGGAACGGAGCCU
rnacentral:lncRNA from 1 species